rnacentral:rRNA from 1 species
UACGUAGGGUGCAAGCGUUGUCCGGAAUUAUUGGGCGUAAAGAGCUCGUAGGCGGUCUGUCACGUCGGCUGUGAAAACCCGAGGCUCAACCUCGGGCCUGCAGUCGAUACGGGCAAACUAGAGUACUGCAGGGGAGUCUGGAAUUCCUGGUGUAGCGGUGAAAUGCGCAGAUAUCAGGAGGAACACCGGUGGCGAAGGCGGGACUCUGGGAAUGACCUGACGCUGAGGAGCGAAAGUGUGGGGAGCGAACAGG